rnacentral:rRNA from 1 species
UACGUAGGGAGCGAGCGUUAUCCGGAUUUAUUGGGUGUAAAGGGUGCGUAGGCGGCUUAAUAAGUCUGUGAUCUAAGCCCGAGGCUUAACCUCGGUUCGUCACAGAAACUGUUUUGCUUGAGCAUGGUAGAGGCAAGUGGAAUUUCUAGUGUAGCGGUUAAAUGCGUAGAUAUUAGAAGGAACACCAGUGGCGAAGGCGACUUGCUGGGCCAUUGCUGACGCUGAGGCACGAAAGCGUGGGGAGC